rnacentral:misc_RNA from 1 species
GAUGAAGAACGUAGCGAAACGCGAUAGUUAAUGUGAAUUGCAGAAUUCAGUGAAUCAUCGAGUCUUUGAACGCACAUUGCGCCCAUUGGUAUUCCGUUGGGCAUGUCUGUUUGAGCGUCAUUACAACAGUUCAGCGUAAGCUGGUUAUGAGUUCUGUUUUUUUAAACAAAAAACAGGCUUUAAAAUGUAUGUUCUGCAGGUCGCUUUGCUAGACCCUAAACAUUAAAUACUGUUCUAGUGAAGCAUUUGCGACUCUGCCUGAAAAAAAACUUUUGUUAAAGUUUGACCUCAGAUCAGACAAGGAUACCCGCUGAACUUAAGCAUAUCAAUAAGCGGAGGA